rnacentral:rRNA from 1 species
AAGUGCACCGUCGACCGACCUAGAUCUUCUGAGAAGGGUUGGAGUGUGAGCAUGCCUGUCGGGACCCGAAAGAUGGUGAACUAUGCCUGAGCAGGGCGAAGCCAGAGGAAACUCUGGUGGAGGCCCGCUGCGAUACUGACGUGCNAAUCGUUCGUCUGACUUGGGUAUAGGGGCGAAAGACUAAUCGAACCAUCUAGUAGCUGAACCGGGAUGUGGCGGUGGACGGCGACGUUAGGGAGUCAGGAGACGUCUGCGGGGGCCUAGGGAAGAGUUAUCUUUUCUGUUUAANAGCCUGCCCACCCUGGAAACGGCUCAGUGGAGGUAGGGUCCAGUGGCUGGAAGAGCACAGCACGUCCUGUGGUGUCCGGUGCGCCCCCGUAGGCCCUUGAAAAUCCGGAGAACGGAAAAGGAUUGGCUCUGAGGACUGGGCACGGGGGUCGAGGCCCUGAACCCGCCGGCUGUUGGUGGACUGCUCGAGCUGCUUCGCGUGUUGGCAGGGGGACGGCUUCGGGAGCGUUCCUCGGGCAUCGAACGGUCAACUCAGAACUGGUACGGACAAGGGGGAUCCGACUGUUUAAUUAAAACAAAGCAUUGCGAUG